UACGUAGGGGGCAAGCGUUGUCCGGAAUCAUUGGGCGUAAAGCGCGUGUAGGCGGUCCGGUAAGUCCGCUGUGAAAGUCGGGGGGCUCAACCCUCGGAUGCCGGUGGAUACUGUCGGGCUUGAGUACGGAAGAGGCGAGUGGAAUUCCUGGUGUAGCGGGUGAAAUGCGCAGAUAUCAGGAGGAACACCAAUUGCGAAGGCAGCUCGCUGGGACGUUACUGACGCUGAGACGCGAAAGCGUGGGGAGCAAACAGG
rnacentral:rRNA from 1 species